GCCACCAUGAUCCCCUGCCUUGGCCUUGUUCUUCUUGCCUCUAUUGGGGUGUCAGUGAUGCUCUGCUUGUUCCUUGGAUGUCCCAGUGGCUUCCUUCUUCUUCUUCUUAUUAUUAUUAUCGAAGGACCACCACUGCUUAGCGGUGUAGAGGAGCUUCCCGGAAGCUAGCUUCACCUCUGGUGCACGCUCGCAAUCCUAGACCGCCUUUAGAUGCUCGGUAACAUCCUCGACCGAGAGUUGCCUAAAGUUUAACAGAGUCUCGAUGGAGAGCACCAUCUGAUCAUACUUCUUCGUCAUGCAUCUGAUAAACUUCUCCGUGGUGUGCUUGUCAUCGAGAUCGGUGUCACCAUUAUAGGCCAUUUGCUCCAUG
rnacentral:lncRNA from 1 species